ACAUUAUUAAAUGUAAUAUAUUCUACUUUCAAACAAUAUUUUUAAGCUAGAAAAAUGGUCUCUUCUAUUACAAUAACUCUAUUUAAAAUUUCCUUUGCAUUUAAAUUUUUUCUUGCUUUUACACUUUUAUAGAGUAAACUUAAUUUUAUUGCUGCUUAUUUUGUUAUUUUUCAUCCAUAAGGUAAUUACGUUUUGGACUUCUGAUUUGCUGAAUGAUAAUACCAGUCCCCUAAAAACACAUUUUUCUACCCAUCCUCCAAAAACCAUAGUGAUCAACACGGAGAUCAAAUAAAAACUACCUAUAAAUCAUGCCUAAAGCAAAACUAGAGAAUACCACAAACUUCAAUUUGCAUGUUAGUGGGGAAAUAAAUAUUCUAAACCAGCAGAGGCAGCUACAGAGGAAGGUGCAGCUAAUUUUCACUGGUGUAGAACACAGACAACCUUACCCCCAGAAACAAGACAGAUCAUAAAUGGUGAAAUACCAAGAACAAAUCUGAGAUCUGGUGGAUCAGAACACUGACAAAUGAAGGAAAAGCAAGGGUCUUGGAAGCACAUGAGACCAAAAAUGGCAGUUGUAGAGGGCAAGGUUUCUGAGGGGAGAGGGAGGUAGUUGUGUUCCUUGGAGGCUUGGUAAUAAAGGAAAAGAAAAAAGCAAACAGUGGAAAUUAAUAUGUUUAUACAAAUGAGACAGUAUUACAGAAUCAGACAUCAUAUAAACCCUCACUCCCAAAAAGGCUUGAUCUAGUAAACUUUAGAAACUGCACUCACUGUGCCAACAGAAGAGGGUAGUAUUGAGCUAAGGAACCUAGUGAGUAAGCCCUGCCUCCAGCUACCCUAAAGUAGAAACAUCUGAAGACCAGAGCAAUUCAAGGAAUUUGAAAGUGAAUACAGACAAAUGGCAAAUUAUAUUCACAUAAAAUUACUUUAAGAAGAAAAUAGAAAGACACUAUCAUCUAAACUGUUCAGGCGAUGAAAAAAAAAAUACUCCCAAAAGACAGCCAUGGGCCGGGCAUGGUGGCUCACACGUGUAAUCCCAACACUUUGGGAGGCCAAGGAAGUUGGAUCACCUGAGGUCAGGAGUUCAAGACCAGCCUGGCCAACAUGGUGAAACCCCAUCUCUACUAAAAAUACAAAAAUUAGCCGGGCAUGGUAGCACUGCCUGUAAUCCCAGCUACUCAGGAGGUUGAGGCAGGAGAAUUACUUGAACCCAGUAGGUGGAGGUUGCAGUGAGCCGAGAUCAUGCCAUUGCACUCCAGCCUGGGUGACAAGAGCGAAACUCCAUCUCAAAAAAAAAAAAACAAAAAACAAAAAAAAAAACACAGCCGUGAAACACAGGACAAAUAUUUGACACAACACCCCUGAAAAAAAUUAAAUAUCAAUUUUUAAAGGAUUUGCAAAAAUGGGGGGAAAAACUUUAUUUUGAAUCAGAAAUGUAAUAAUUCAGAAUAGUCCAAGAUAUCUAGAUGUGAGAGUUGAACUCAGGCAAGAAAACACUAAAUCAUCUAAAAAGUGAAGAGUGAACUACAAGGUGACCAAAGGAAAACAGAUUUGACUGAAAAUAAAAUAAGGGACUAGACACGGUGGCUCACACCUGUAAUCCCAGCACUUUGGGAAGCCAAGGCAGGAGAAUUGCUUGAGCCCAGGAGUUUGAGACCAGCCUGGGCAACAUGGUGAAACCCUGUCUCUACAAAACAUACAAAAAUUAGGUGUGGUGGUGGCACGCCUAUAGCCCCAGCUACUCGGAAGGCUGCAGUGAGAGGACUGCUUUAGCUCAGGAGGUCGAGGCUGCAGUGAGCCAUGAGCAUGCUACUGCACUCCAGCCUGGGCAACAGAGUGAGACUCUGUCUCAAAAAAUAAAAGAGAGGAAUAGAAACAAUCAAGAAAGUGAACACACAGAAGUUAAAGAGAGAAAAAAGUGAAAAUGCUAAUAUCAUGACUUUAUGUUUUAAGCAUAUCUUAAGGUAUAAGUUUCAUAAGCAACUAAUAUAUGGAGAAGUGACAUAUAAUUUAAAAAUUGCCCCAGAUGAUCAGUUGGCCUUUAAAAAAUUCUCUCGAAAUAUUUGCUUUAUAAGUAUAGUGAAAAUCUAAGCAAGUUAAGAAGCACUACUAUAUUCUCCUAGACAGUGACACAGAAAGUGACACACCACAUGGUUUUUUUGUUUUGUUUAGUUUUAGUUUUUGUUUUUUUGAGAUGGAGUUUCGCUUUUGUUGCUCAGGCUGGAGUGCAAUGGUGUAAUCUUGGCUCACUGCAACCUUCGUCUCCUGGGUUUAAGCUAUCCUCCUGCCUCAGCCUCCCGA
rnacentral:lncRNA from 1 species